UACGUAGGGCGCGAGCGUUGUCCGGAAUUAUUGGGCGUAAAGAGCUCGUAGGCGGCUUGUCACGUCGAUUGUGAAAGCCCGAGGCUUAACCCCGGGUCUGCAGUCGAUACGGGCUAGCUAGAGUGUGGUAGGGGAGAUCGGAAUUCCUGGUGUAGCGGUGAAAUGCGCAGAUAUCAGGAGGAACACCGGUGGCGAAGGCGGAUCUCUGGGCCAUUACUGACGCUGAGGAGCGAAAGCGUGGGGAGCGAACAGG
rnacentral:rRNA from 1 species